AUGAACGCUGGCGGCGUGCUUAACACAUGCAAGUCGAACGGAACUUGGUUGAUAGAGGAUUCGUCCAAUUGACAUCAAGUUUAGUGGCGGACGGGUGAGUAACGCGUGAGCAACCUGCCUUUCAGUGGGGGACAACAGUUGGAAACGACUGCUAAUACCGCAUAACGUAUUUUUAGGACAUCCUAUAGAUACCAAAGGAGCAAUCCGCUGAAUGAUGGACUCGCGUCUGAUUAGAUAGUUGGUGAGGUAACGGCCCACCAAGGCGACGAUCAGUAGCCGGUCUGAGAGGAUGAACGGCCACAUUGGGACUGAGAUACGGCCCAGACUCCUACGGGAGGCAGCAGUGGGGAAUAUUGCACAAUGGGCGCAAGCCUGAUGCAGCGAUGCCGCGUGAGGGAAGAAGGUUUUCGGAUUGUAAACCUCUGUCUUCAGGGACGAUAAUGACGGUACCUGAGGAGGAAGCUCCGGCUAACUACGUG
rnacentral:rRNA from 1 species